AGUGAACGCUGGCGGUAGGCCUAACACAUGCAAGUCGAACGGCAGCACAGUAAGAGCUUGCUCUUACGGGUGGCGAGUGGCGGACGGGUGAGGAAUACAUCGGAAUCUACUUUUUCGUGGGGGAUAACGUAGGGAAACUUAAGCUAAUACCGCAUACGACCUACGGGUGAAAGCAGGGGAUCUUCGGACCUUGCGCGAUUGAAUGAGCCGAUGUCGGAUUAGCUAGUUGGCGGGGUAAAGGCCCACCAAGGCGACGAUCCGUAGCUGGUCUGAGAGGAUGAUCAGCCACACUGGAACUGAGACAGGGUCCAGACUCCUACGGGAGGCAGCAGUGGGGAAUAUUGGACAAUGGGCGCAAGCCUGAUCCAGCCAUACCGCGUGGGUGAAGAAGGCCUUCGGGUUGUAAAGCCCUUUUGUUGGGAAAGAAAAGCAGCAGGUUAAUACCCCGCUGUUCUGACGGUACCCAAAGAAUAAGCGCCGGCUAACUUCGUG
rnacentral:rRNA from 1 species